rnacentral:tRNA from 1 species
UCUUGGGUGGCAGAGCCUGGUAAAUGUAAAAGACUUAAACCCUUUAAUCAGAGGUUCAACUCCUCUCUCAAGUC